GCGGACGUGGUGAAAUUGGUAUACACGCCAGGUUUAGGUUCUGGUGCCGCAAGGUGUGAGAGUUCGAGUCUCUCCGUCCGCACCA
rnacentral:tRNA from 1 species